UGUGGUGGUGCAUGCCUGUUGGGAAGCGGAGGCAUGAGGAUCACUUGAGCCUUGGAGAUCUGGGCUGGAGUGGUCUAGGCCAACUGGGUGUCUGCACUAAGUUCAGCAUCAAAUGAUGACUUCCCAGGAGCCACCAGGUUGCCUAAGGAGGGGUCAACCCAGGUUGGAAAUAAAGUCAGUCAAAACCUGCGGAUCAGUGGUAGUAUGAUCACACCUGUGAAUAGCCACUGUACUCCAGCCUAGGCAACAUAGCGAGACACUGUCUCUU
rnacentral:SRP_RNA from 1 species